GGCUAUUUAGUAUUGCUGAUUCUGACAAGGGAAACAGGUGAAAAUCCUGUGCUGACGCGCAGCUGUAAAGUCCUACAAGAUAAUGCAUUAUGUCACUGGCACGAACGCGCUCUGCGAGAGCAGACACGGCUGGGAAGACGCAUUAUCCGGGCUGAGCCAGAAGACCUGCUGAUGAAG
rnacentral:ncRNA from 1 species